GAUCUGUGUAGUAUUUCAGACAUGCGCUGGGUUCGUCAACGAUGGUGGCUGUGGUUGGAAGAUGAUGACGUUGGUUGGUGGCCAGAUUGGUACUAUCCUUACCAGAUCUACCUUUUUGUUUUGUAUUUGUGUGGUUUAUGUUUAUACGCUGUUAAAUUUCAUGUGUUAUAAGUUGUUUUAAACAGUUUUGCUACUGUUUUUGGAUGUAUUUAUGUUAGAUCUGCAUAAAAUUUUCAGAUUUGUGUUGGUUCUGGGUUUUUGUAAUGUUUUGUGAACUGAUAUUGUGAAUGGAGUGAUAAAAUGAAGGUUAUUGCUUCAUUUGAUGGGUGAAUAGAUGAAGCAUGAUUGAGAAAACAGUUUAAUGUAGAAUGUUGUAUGUUGUAUUUGGUUUACACAUCAGGAAUGAUCAUGUGGAUGAGGAUGCAGCCAGCACAGCCACAACAACUUUAUACGCUGUUGAUGUAACGCAUGCAGCCAUACCAACUGUUAUAAUCUCCAACUGUUGAUGUAACGCAUGCAGCCAUACCAAUUUAACACAUGAGUUUAACGACAGCUGUUGAUGUCUCUCAUAAAUGUAAGGAUAUAAUUUCUUUAUUUAUACAAUUAUAUCGAACAUUCAGUCUCAAUUCAUAUCCCUGCGUAGGUUGAUGGUUUGGAGGAUGCUUUUGCUGUCAAACAAG